GACGAACGCUGGCGGCGUGCUUAACACAUGCAAGUCGAACGGAAAGGCCCUGCUUUUGUGGGGUGCUCGAGUGGCGAACGGGUGAGUAACACGUGAGUAACCUGCCCUUGACUUUGGGAUAACUUCAGGAAACUGGGGCUAAUACCGGAUAGGAGCUCCUGCUGCAUGGGGGGGGUUGGAAAGUUUCGGCGGUGGGGGAUGGACUCGAGGCUUAUCAGCUUGUUGGUGGGGUAGUGGCUUACCAAGGCUUUGACGGGUAGCCGGCCUGAGAGGGUGACCGGCCACCUUGGGACUGCGAUACGGCCCAGACUCCUACGGGAGGCAGUAGUGGGGAAUAUUGCACAAUGGGCGGAAGCCUGAGGCAGCAACGCCGCGUGCGGGAUGACGGCCUUCGGGUUGUAAACCGCUUUCGCCUGUGACGAAGCGUGAGUGACGGUAAUGGGUAAAGAAGCACCGGCUAACUACGUG
rnacentral:rRNA from 1 species